rnacentral:pre_miRNA from 1 species
AGCUUUGAUUCACAAGUUCUAAGAGUACUGUUGUACUCUUAGAACUUGUGAAUCAAAGCU